rnacentral:misc_RNA from 1 species
GCAGCAGCUAGGAUGGGUGGCUGCCCAGAAAGCAAAGCCCCCAGCUUGGCAGACUCUGAGUGGGAAUGCACCGGAGGUGAUAGCGAGGGGUGGGUUUUCGGGGCUGUUUCCCGAUUCGAGUAGUCUGGCUUACAAUUUUGCGCUAUUAGCGAGCUCGCCGGCAACCAUCUUCUGGUGUGAUGUUCAGUUAACGAAAGAUGGACUUGGGGCGUGCCUGCCUGAUAUAAAGCUGGACAAUUGCACUAAUAUUGUCAACAUUUACCCCUCCGGGAAGAGUAGUUAUAGUGUCAAUGGUGCGCCGACGACUGGGUGGUUUUCGGUGGAUUUCAAUUCGACGGAGUUGUCACAAGUUUCUUUAAUCCAGGGAAUCUAUUCUCGAACGGACAAAUUUGAUACUAGCUUGCUUGCUAUCUUGGCUGUUG